rnacentral:rRNA from 1 species
AGCAGCCGCGGUAAUUCCAGCUCCAAUAGCGUAUAUUAAAGUUGUUGCAGUUAAAAAGCUCGUAGUUGAACUUCGGGGUUUACCCAUUGGUCAGGCUUAAUUGUCUGUACUGGUGAGAUAAAUCUCUACCUUCUGAGGAACUUUCAUGCCAUUUAUUUAGUGUGAUGGGAAAUCAGGACUGUUACUUUGAAAAAUUAGAGUGUUUAAAGCAGGCUAACGUCUGAAUACAUUAGCAUGGAAUAAUGAAAUAGGACGGAUUGAUUCUAUUUCGUUGGUUUCUAGGGUCACCGUAAUGAUUAAUAGGGAUAGUUGGGGGCAUUAGUAUUCAAUUGUCAGAGGUGAAAUUCUUGGAUUUAUUGAAGACUAACUACUGCGAAAGCAUUUGCCAAGGAUGUUUUCAUUAAUCAAGAACGAAAGUUAGGGGAUCGAAGACGAUCAGAUACCGUCGUAGUCUUAACCAUAAACUAUAGCCGACUAGGGAUCGGAUGAUGUUAAUUUU